CCAUGGAAACCAGUAGGUGCCUGCUGCUCCUGAUUCUGUUUUCAGAGCAGAAGGCUAACCACAGGACAUUCCAGCUGUGACUCAUUGCCACUACUGGCAAGCAUUCUGGCUUGGUCCCGCGAAGGAAAUCAUCCCCGGCAGACCAGAUGGGAAAGCAGUGAAUCAAUGAAUCACUUGUGAAGAGAUGGACGGCCAACAUGAAUCGCUUGCAGCGUGUUGCUAUGACAACCUGCUUCUGUGUGGACACUGAGGCCAUUCCCAAGUGCGGGGUGCGUGGCCCAGAGCAAACCAUACCGUGGGGGACAGCGUAAGCCUGAGCUUCGAGUGAAGUAAGCGGACUAAAAUGUUGGCUGUAUCAUUUAUCCUUUGUGAGAAGUGCCAAAUGCAUCAGUGACGCCAGCUGCAGACAGAAAGCAAGAGGAAACUCAAGUGUCUUAAGAGAUGAACCAUUAAUUAUAUCUCAGCCUUGUCUUCGCCUGGACCAGCCCCAGUCCCAUCCAAUCAUUGGUCCACUUCUGCUGAUUUUACCUCCUCGGUGCUCUCAAAUCCUUCUAUUACAUUCUCCCUCCUCAGCCUGCAAGGAACUGGUGCCCUCUCUCUCUCGCCUGGGCUGCAGCCACCCCCUCACUGGAUGUCCACAGUUACUUUCACCUCCCUUCCAUUUUCCCUUAAAGCCAGAGUCUUUAAAGGCGCCAGUCUGAGCAGACCAUUUCAGGCUCACACUCCUGAAAGACCUCUUGCUGCUCCAGGGGAGGUCCCUGAAACUCCUCAUGCCCCCUCAGUGCUGGGCUAUGCUCACUCGCUCUCUGGCUCGCAGGGUCCCAUCCACCCAGAAGCCCCACACUCAGCCUCAGCCACACUGGACUUCCUUCAGUUCUGACAAGGAUUUUCUCCUGGGCUCGACUCUAGCCAGGCCUCUCUGAACCUUCUUCCUGACUAAGCCUCAACCUUGGCCUACAAAAAAUGAGGACUCUGGGCACACGUGCUUUCAUCCACUCACGCCCCCCAUAUUAAAAGACUUAAACACUAACAUGGUUUCUAACAGCUCAAGGUCACAUCCCCAGGAUGACCCCUGCCCCGCUUAAAGUGCCUGCCUGAGAAAAGCUCAAGGCAACCAGAAGAACUGACGGUUUGUUCCAGCCAACACCUGAGGCUGGGCCCCUGACCACCCUUUCAUAGAACACUUACUAAAAAGGGCUUAUAGGUGUGAAUCCUUCCUCUGUCCCUUUGAGAUGUAUGUGUGCCUCCUAGGACUCAGGAGUACUUUCUCAAGGAUCUGAGAGCCAUGCCUUUGAAAUGUAAUCUUCAGGAAGGAUGGGACCCUGGCUCCCAGUCCAUGUGGGAGGGCAGAAUCCUAAUUCCCAUGGCUGCAGCCAACAGCAUGCUGCAGCUGGCCUGGCCACACUGACACGGACUAACCUUUUGUCAUUUCUCACUUCCCUGAGUGUUCGGGCUGCUGCCCCCUCCCAACUCCCUCAUUCUCCCUUUAAAACGUCCAGUCACCUCCCUACAAAGCGAAGGGAGUGCGGUUCGUGCUGGAUCCCACUGUAGGAGCACAUGAAGGAUUAAACUCUACCUUUGCCACUCGAACUCGCAGCUGCGUUAGCUCUGACAGUUCCUCCAACACAACUUCUCUUUGAACUUGAAUGCACAAGAUCUUACCGCGUGAAGAAAAUAAAAGGAUGGCUACUCCAGGUAAAUGGAGUGAGACAACCAUGCCAUUAUUAAGCCUGUGAAGACCAUCUGAACACUAGAUGAAGAAAGAUGACUUUAAAACCAUUGUCAAGUUCAUGUUUAAAAUAUUAAAAGCUCAUUACAGUCCUACCAUACCUCUCUGAGCUGAAUGCUACCAGCCACACCAUCCACAGUUCAUCCAGAGCAUUUCAAGAGCUAAUCAGGACAUGAUAAGACAAAUGGAUUAGAUGUUGGAACUGGAUUCUUUUGGUUUGGCUUCUAAACCCACUUGCUGUAUAUUCUUGAGAGGACUUCACUUUCUCUCAUUUAAAAAUAAGAAAUUAAAGUGGAUUUGUGUUUGGAAUUUUCAGACACACCAUAGAAAAAAAAAUACAUUUACAUUGGAGGCCCUGGAUGGCUCAGUCUGCUAAGCAUCUGACUCUUGACUUUGACUCAGAUCAUGAUCUCACAGUUUGUUAGUUCAAGCCCUGCAUGGGUUCUGCACUGACAGUGGGGAGCCUGCUCAGGAUUCUCUCUUUCUUCUCCUCUCUCUGCCCCUCUCCUGCUCAGUCACUCUCUCUCUUUCUCAAAAUAAAUAAAUAAACCUA